rnacentral:rRNA from 1 species
UACGUAGGUGGCAAGCGUUGUCCGGAUUUACUGGGCGUAAAGAGCGCGCAGGCGGUCGUAUAAGUCGAAUGUGAAAGCCCCCGGCUCAACUGGGGAGGGUCAUUCGAUACUGUUCGACUCGAAGGCAGGAGAGGGAAGUGGAAUUCCCGGUGUAGUGGUGAAAUGCGUAGAUAUCGGGAGGAACACCAGUGGCGAAGGCGACUUCCUGGCCUGUUCUUGACGCUGAGGCGCGAAAGCUAGGGUAGCAAACGGG